rnacentral:rRNA from 1 species
UAGGGAAUAUUAGAAAUGGACGAAAGUCUGAUCUAGCAACACCGCGUGUGCGAAGAAGGCCUUCGGGUCGUAAAGCACUUUUUGGAAGGAAUAGGAAGGAAUGUACUUCCAGAAUAAGUCUCGGCUAACUACGUGCCAGCAGCCGCGGUAACACGUAGGAGGCAAACGUUAUCCGGAUUUACUGGGCGUAAAGCGCGUGUAGGUGGUUUGGUAAGUAGAGCGUGAAAGCUCCUGGCUCAACUGGGAGAGGUCGUUCUAAACUGCCGGACUAGAGGAUGGUAGAGGGAGGUGGAAUUCCGGGUGUAGCGGUGGAAUGCGCAGAUAUCCGGAGGAACACCAGCGGCGCAGGCGGCUCACUAGACAGUUUCUGACGCUAAGAUACGAAAGCGUGGGGAGCAAACA